CAGUAGCCGCGGGAAUACGGAGGGGGCUAGCGUUGUUCGGAAUUACUGGGCGUAAAGCGCACGUAGGCGGCUUUGUAAGUUAGAGGUGAAAGCCCGGAGCUCAACUCCGGAAUUGCCUUUAAGACUGCAGAGCUAGCAGGUGAGAGAGGUGAGUGGAAUUCCGAGUGUAGAGGUGAAAUUCGUAGAUAUUCGGAAGAACACCAGUGGCGAAGGCGGCUCACUGGCUCAUACUGGACGCUGAGGUGCGAAAGCGUGGGGAGCAAACAGGAUUAGAUACCCGGGUAGUCCCUGUCUCUUAUAC
rnacentral:rRNA from 1 species